rnacentral:rRNA from 1 species
AUUGAACGCUGGCGGAAUGCUUUACACAUGCAAGUCGAACGGUAGAGGGGGCAACCCCUCGAGAGUGGCGAACGGGUGAGUAAUAUAUCGGAACGUGCCCAGUCGUGGGGGAUAACGUAGCGAAAGUUACGCUAAUACCGCAUACGAUCUAAGGAUGAAAGCGGGGGAUCGCAAGACCUCGCGCGAUCGGAGCGGCCGAUAUCAGAUUAGGUAGUUGGUGGGGUAAAGGCCCACCAAGCCAACGAUCUGUAGCUGGUCUGAGAGGACGACCAGCCACACUGGAACUGAGACACGGUCCAGACUCCUACGGGAGGCAGCAGUGGGGAAUUUUGGACAAUGGGCGAAAGCCUGAUCCAGCCAUUCCGCGUGCAGGAUGAAGGCCCUCGGGUUGUAAACUGCUUUUACUCUGAACAAGGCGCACCAGUGGGUGUGUUGAGUGUAGGGGUUGAUUAGCGCCGGCUAACUACGUGCCAGCAGCCGCCGCGG